AAAAAGUGCUUAUCAUGAUUCUGUAACAACAUUUGAAAUGUCUAAUUAUGACAAUUAUAAAUAUUCAUUUUUCCUUAAACACUUUUCCUUGGCUUUUUAUGAAGGAUUUUUUCAAUCUACUAAUUUCUUGCAAUUUGGAUCAUUUCCUAGUGAUUGCUCAUUGCCUUUUUCCCAUGUUUUUCAAAGAAUAUCGACCUAAUUUGCUAAGGAAAGGCACCGGAAAGCAGCAAAAGAAAAAUCAUGUCCUUCCAGGUUUUAAAGGGUAACUAUAGCAAGAUGUAUUUGUUUUUUACAUAAAUGCAUAACACAAGGGUCACUUUAACUUUGAUUCUGAAACAACUGUGACCAAGAUAUGUACCAAACCAGAAUGUUUUAUAGUGAAAAAUAAGCCAGCAUCAGCUGUGGUUUAAAGCAAGUCCCAUAGAACUGGUCAUUUCAGCUCCAUGCUACAUUUGAUGUGAUUGCAGCAUCCAAAAAAAUUGAACAGUGUCUGACCUGCAGCCAAAAAACUAUAGAGGAGCGUGACAUACCAAGGUUCUGUGGUAAUGUUGUUCAUGGUAUUUUUAGCUCACCUGAGAACUUCACUGACAAACCUAUAAAUCAACUCAAUUUCAUUAUGUAAAUUACUUAUUACUUAAAUUAUUAAGAACUGCACCAUUGGGCGAUCAAGAUUGAAAAGUGACACAUUGGGGAAACUUAAUUGUCAAAUGUCAAGAGUUGAACCUGAAUCGAUCAACAACACUACUAAAUACCAUUACAUAUAUAUCGCUUUUCAAUUUACUCUUAAAGAUGAAGUCAGUCAGUAAGACUUCUAAAAAGACUUAAGUGAGCAGGUGGGACUGGAUGUGGACUUGAACAACUUUUGUUCUCAUGUCCUUCUCCACAGGAGCUAACUCAUAAUAUCAGGGUUUACUGCAAAAUAGCCAUAUAGAAUAUAGCUUCAAGGUAAAAAUGUGUACCUUUCUUAAAGUUUGAAUAGUCUUUUAGAUCGUUGUUUAGAAACCUGAUAUCUUUCUGAUAAGAUGAUGAUUGUGAUGAUCCAUGAUUUGGAAAAUGCUCCAGCUAGUGAGGUCUUGCACACCAGGGUGUAAUGUUUUUACAAACAGAUCGCACAUGAUAUGAGGGGUGGAGAUGGUAAAAAUGUUUCGAAGAUGGGUUUAAAAAUACAUAUGAAAAAAAGCACCAGCAAUAUUAUAAUGAUUAAUUCUGAGCAUGUUUUUGCACAGGAGGGCUUCUUAAGUACGUGAUCAGUUUUCUGCUCCCAGUUGAUGAUCCUCAGGUCUCGAAUGUGUCUUCAGUCAGCUGUCACACUGCUGUUAUAAUAGAUGCCAUAGUGCCAUAAUGUGUAGCCUUAUUUAGCCUUUGAGUAGAGAAUAUAUAGUUCAUAUCUGUCGAGUCUCUUUGACUUGGUAACUGAGUAACUCCUCAGUGUGCUCUGAUUGAUUCAUCAUCUUUUAAUUAAUGUUAUAUUAUGCAGGAUGUGGGUUUCUUGUAUUUUGCCACAAAGUUCAGCACACGUCAGAUCUGGAUUAAACAAUGACCAAAUUUUAGAUUCACAGAGAUUAUCUGAGCAUAUUUCUCUGCGUGUGUUUAUUGUGUCAGCGCACAGUCUACAAAGGGAAUGAGUGACUAUCGUGCAGCUAGAGGAAACACUCCAUGUAGAAAUGUGCCAGUCAGAUAUAGCUUCCAGUGCACUGAGGGAAACCUUCUCCAGCUGAGCACUUUUCAACAUAUGCAGCAUUGGACAGUGGUGUUCAGCUCCUGCUGCUACACUGUAUAUAUGCUCUUUAUAUCUGCUGAAUGAAAUUCUAUUUUUCUGUCGCAUUUUGUAUAAAAUAUUGUUAUUAAAAGUUACAGUGAA